GACAUUUUAUCUUCGUUGUCAAAUGCUUGUGAGCGAGCAAUGGAAAUUCAUGAACUAUUUUUUGUGAUAACUCCAGAAUUUGGAAUAGUCCUAUAUGUAACAUAUAAUAGGGCUUACCUUCUUAACCUGGUAUAUAACGACACGAUCUGCUAGCAAUAAUAACUCGUUGAGCCCAAACCACUGGCCCAAAAAGCUUAAGCCCAGUUAUUAUUCAGACCGUCCAAAUCUAGAUCAUAGACAUAUAGAUCAAAAUUACCAGCAAUGUGAGAUUAUAGAGGUGGCUCCUACGGGUUCAAGAGGUGGCUCCUACGGGUUCAAGAGAUGGCUCCCACUGAACCCGUGGUGUAGCACUUUGCCCCGUAUAACACUUAGCUCUUACACUUCCGGCUGGUAUUUGGCUCUGUACUAAUUGUAACGAUCUGACCCGUUAGCAAUAAUAACUCGUUGGGCCUAAACUAUCGGCCCAAAAUACUUAAGCCCAGUUAUUAUACAAACUGUCCAAAUCUAAAUCACAGACAUAUAGAUAAGAAUAAUUACCAGCAAUGUGAGAUUUUUGAGGUGGCUCAUAUGGGUUCAAGAGGUGGCUCCUAUCAAACCUGUGGUGUAGUACUUUGUCCCGCGUAACACUUAGUUCUCACAUUUCCAGCUGGUAUUCGGCUUUAAUAUUAUUUUUCUAUCACGCCCUAAACCCGAGGCAUANGGUGGCUCAUAUGGGUUCAAGAGGUGGCUCCUAUCAAACCCGUGGUGUAGUACUUUGUCCCGCGUAACACUUAGUUCUCACAUUUCCAGCUGGUAUUCGGCUUUAAUAUUAUUUUUCUAUCACGCCCUAAACCCGAGGCAUAAAAGAUGCUUCAUACCUGCUAGAAUAGCAAAUAUGUAAGGCUACAAAAUCGAAAAAAAUAGAUAGAAAGAUAGUCACAAAAAUUCACUAAAUUAUGCGGUACGGA
rnacentral:lncRNA from 1 species